rnacentral:rRNA from 1 species
UACGUAGGGUGCAAGCGUUAAUCGGAAUUACUGGGCGUAAAGCGUGCGCAGGCGGUUGUGCAAGACCGAUGUGAAAUCCCCGGGCUUAACCUGGGAAUGGCAUUGGUGACUGCACGGCUAGAGUGUGGCAGAGGGGGGUGGAAUUCCGCGUGUAGCAGUGAAAUGCGUAGAGAUGCGGAGGAACACCGAUGGCGAAGGCAGCCCCCUGGGCUGACACUGACGCUGAGGCACGAAAGCGUGGGGAGCAAACAGG